GGAGGCUGAACUCCUUCCGUCGCGAUGCCUGAAGGGCAGCUUUGCGGGCUAGCAGCAGAUAACAUGUGUUAAUGCCUCGAUUCCCAUGUGAGCCCCCCGUCUUUCACGAGGAGCUUAAACUGAGCUAAAUUCAGCCUGUGUGUGCGGCUCUUUGUGGAGACUUGAUUACGGUGAUGCUUCUGCUUGUUUGGAGGGUGCCUGAAGUCUGCUGGGGUGCUCCGCUGCGAAGCCGGGUGAGCUCUCCCCACGUGUCCGUGGUCCUCCAGGCUGGGCUGCCUGCCCGUGGGCUGUUCUCCGCUCUGCAGGAAUUGCUGCAUCUCCGUAGCCCUCUGAUCCCUACUGAGGAUCUUUUCAAGGUGAAGUGUCCUCUUGAAAUGGAGAGAGCCUUUAAAUAAGGAUGAUGGCCAUUUCUUCCUGGCUUUGGCACCAGGUACUAGUGUACUCUGUCCAGUCUUGAGAUGGCACCAUGCCUGUCCCGAAGAGUUUGGUCUUGGAAAUGAGAUAAAUCCUAUUUCACAGAAACUGGUAAAAAUAAAACUGUUGAGGACUGAUUUGUUUCUAUAGCAACAGACUACUAAUACAGCUUCUCUUUGCAGAAGGGCAAAAAACAUAAAAUGAAACGUUAGUCCACCUGGGACUGUAGCUGUCAGCAAAAGAAAAAUCUUCGGUAGACCAGCGAAGGGGGGUAGGAGAAACGUCCUGGUUAAAGAAAGACAGCGCUCUAAUGCAAUUCAUUGCCUGGAUGUUCGUCAUGUCAGGUGCACGUUUUUUUAACUGAAUUAAAAAAAAUGACUUUCUGAGCUGUAGUGAGGCAACCAUGACUUGCAUAAGAAAUGCUCAGGGUUUAUCAGGGGAUUGCUUUGUUAAAGAAUAGUGAAUUGAAACUGUCUAGAAAUGGCUGCUUAGCACAACUUAUACAAAACUUGCUUAGCAUGAGUGGCUAGAUUUGCUGAAGCCUUAGGCCAGGCGUGGGAAAAGUAACGAAUCUUUACUUAGUUUAAUAAAAAAUAGUGCCUCAGAGCUCGUUCAGGCUGGGAAGAUAGGGGAGCCACACGCAGUCUGCGCACCUGUGUCACCGACUCCGAGAGGGAAGACGCCAAAACAAUGGGGAAAAAUAAGACCUUGGGAGACAACCGCCAGACCCAACAAAAACAGAGGUACAACCAUCAUCAGAGACUGCAAAAAACAAGAAUAAGGAGAAAAACAGCUUGCCUGAGAAUGACGAUGAGACCCAAUGAGGAGCAGGAGACCCCAGACCAAAAAAUUAUUAUUGGUCUAACUAUCGCGUGAGGGGUGGGAAAUGUAAGUCGAAAAGACUGUGAUUACCCAGAAUUUGUUUAUGUUAGGGUCCCUCUUCGGAGGCACCCAGCUCGAGCUGUAAUUACGGCACGCGCGUGAUUAAAAUUAUCUGAUUUGUUUUGA